rnacentral:lncRNA from 1 species
AAAUUGCACUUUUGUAUACUUACCAUAAUCUGAAAAUAAAUUAGGAAAAGUAAAUUUAUUUUGAAAAAAAUGCUAGAAAAUCAGUGGUAGAAAAUACGUUGUAGCCGGAAUAAAAUAAUCUUCGGUUUUUAGGGUUUCUGAAGACGGCAAAUGAAGACUUAUUUAUUUCUUCGGGUGUUUUAUGUGCAGGAUUCCUGUAGACCUGCCAAACUUAAUGGCGAUUCGUUACUUCCAACUUUUUAACUGAGCGGCAAAGCAAUUUGACGAGAGCCGUAGUUAGGUGUAGUUAUCGCAAAAUUUUAUGACGAUUUUAUUGUUUGAAAGGGCAAAUAGUUCGCUGUUCAUCGAAAGCUGGUCCAAGAAGGAAAGAUGGCCGCCGCCGACUUAUUUUUAACCGACUUCCCAAAAAGCGGAGGUUCUCAAUUCGACCAUUUUUUCGUAUGUUUGUUACGCGAUUACUCAGCCAUUUAUUUAUCGAUUUUGAUGAUUCUUUUUUUGUUUGAUAGCGUAUACUUCCGAGGUGGUCCCAUUAUCAUCAGAUCCUGGACCUAAUAACAAAUAUGGGGAAUAUA